AUACAGGAACCAGAACAACAUGAAGACCUCAGAGACGUCUUCUGUGUCGUCAGAUGAAUUCAUGCUGACGUAAAUCACAGCUAGCGAGCCGGUCCAGCAAACACAGGUCCGUUAACGCCCUUAUCCAGUUAAAGAGUCGAGCAGCUUCUCCGGGAUCUUUAUGUUUCACAGAACUCUGGAUUCAUGUUCAAGCAAAAAAACACAAAACAACAAAUCUCAUUGUGAUUAUUUAGAUAAUUACUGUGAUUAGAAGAGACACAAACAGAAACUAACAUUCAAAGAGGACGGUGUGAUUUUCUUUCUGCUGUUUCCUGAUGAUGUCUGAAGCGGUUCUGCAACUGGAGUUAAUCAUUAAAAUGUGUUUUAAAUCAUUCUAUGCAGAAAUAGUUCAGACUGUGCUUUUAUUUUGAUGCUGCAAAAUAGCAAAAGAGGAAAUGGUCAGCAGGAAACAGGAAGCAGAUCAGAAAGCUGUCUGAUCCAGAUCAGUCGUGCCGGUUCGUCCCUCGUGAGGCGAUGGCGUCUCGCUCCAAGUCAACGUAGCCGACUGUGAAGGAAGUGAAGCAGCAAGACGCUCACGCUCCCGGCUCUGUAAAGGCUGUUUACCUGUUUACCUGACGUUCUGACUUCUGCACAUUACUGCAUCCUGACGUUUGACCGUCAUGUGAACUGAUGACAGCGAGUGUUUGGCGUCCAUUCAGCUGGUUUCUCUGAUCUGUGGUUGAAGUGAGUCGGGUUUCUGGCGCCGUGCUGCCGUUUACUGGGAAGACCUUCAUGUGUCUGAAGCUGUGUCUGAAGUAAAGCGGUGAUGUAUGAGGGACCAGGAUCCAUGACGACCGAGACGCAGGAAAACAGGGAAACAGUAAAAAUAGCAUCCUGUCAAUAUUUUAGAGACGCGCCCCAAAAAACCUCCACGACCCGAGUUCUGAGGAAGCUCGUGUUUAAUUAAGAGGACGAGCUCGUCCCGGAGCUCACACACCGUUCACCAGCAGAUUCAGCUUCACACCAACGUUCUACAGAUCAGGUCAGAGCUGGUUUCUCAACGUGAACUCAGCUUUUACUGCAGUUUGACAGAUUUUUGUUAGAUUACAGAUAAUAACGAGUAAAAUAUCAGAAAACAAUCAUUUCUGUGUCAACUGUGAAGCUGGAACUGGAUCCACAUUAAACAUCUGUACAGUUUAAAACAGGACUUUGACUGUAAACUGACAGAAGUUUUAUUUAAUCAGGAACAAAUGCUGUCAUUUGAAGAUCUUUGCCUUUACUUGACAGAACAUGUUGGUAACGAUGAAUCAUCUCUUUAACUGCUUUUCUCAUGUUUUGAAUAAAAGAUCAAAUUGAACAAAAUCACAGAUAAAAAUACUAAAAGCAGUGAAACUGUCCAGACGUCUGGUCCAACCAAACUCCAGAAACCUCCAGUAACGCCUGAUGGACUUCUUCGACCCGAUCGAAGGCUUUUAUUUUGAAGGCAGCCCGUGCAGCUCGUCUCUCUGGACCCAGAUGGAUGCUGGAGGUUUUCAGAUCUUUGCUGUUUGCUGCGUGUUCGUCUUGUUGACGCUCCUUACAAACAAAGCGCUGCUCCUCCUCGGAGACGCUCGGCUGUCUAACGUGCUGCUGCUGAUGUUUUAACACCAGCUGAUUAAAAUUUGAUUUGAUUCGAGGCAGCAGCGGCUGAAACUUUAAUUUCUGACGGAACACAAAACAACUGGAACAUAAAACACAAACCGGCGAAUGGAGCCGAACGCCGAGUAAAAAUAGAAGAAGUGGUAAUUAAAAUCACAGAGCGACGGCGUGGAGCCACCAAUCAGGAGUAAUGGUGUCUCUUUGUAGAAUAAAUCCCUUUAAUGUGACGUGACAGCGAUGCCUCUCCUGGUGGAGAAACUUUGAGUCCCUGGUGUUUGUUUUAUUCUCUGCUGACUUGUUCUCGUAUUUAUUUCUGUCGUUGUGAUGAUAGAAACCUGUUUGGAUGUUUUCAUUCUGUCUUUAUAGAACUUAUUACUCCGUAAAUCUCGGCGGUUCCUCUGAACUCGGCCCGCUAAUCAGUUCUGCUUUAAAUCAAGUGUUUUAAUCCUGAGCUGUCACUCACUCCAUUCUCUCAGCAGACACAAUAAACGCUCUAAACAUCCA